rnacentral:tRNA from 1 species
GUCCGAAUGGCGGAAUGGUAGACGCGCUAGCUUCAGGUGCUAGUGAUCUUUGCGAUCGUGGAAGUUCGAGUCUUCUUUCGGGCAC